rnacentral:rRNA from 1 species
AGAACGAACGCUGGCGGCAUGCCUAAUACAUGCAAGUCGAACGAACACUUCGGUGUUAGUGGCGCACGGGUGCGUAACGCGUGGGAAUCUGCCCUUGGGUUCGGAAUAACAGUUGGAAACGACUGCUAAUACCGGAUGAUAUCGAAAGAUCAAAGAUUUAUCGCCCAGGGAUGAGCCCGCGUAGGAUUAGCUAGUUGGUGAGGUAAAGGCUCACCAAGGCGACGAUCCUUAGCUGGUCUGAGAGGAUGAUCAGCCACACUGGGACUGAGACACGGCCCAGACUCCUACGGGAGGCAGCAGUAGGGAAUAUUGGACAAUGGGCGCAAGCCUGAUCCAGCAAUGCCGCGUGAGUGAUGAAGGCCUUAGGGUUGUAAAGCUCUUUACCCGAGAUGAUAAUGACAGUAUCGGAGAAUAAGCCCCGGCUAACUCCGUGCCAGCAGCCCGC